GACAGAGGGUGCAAACGUUGUCCGGAAUUAUUGGGCGUAAAGAGCUCGUAGGCGGUCUGUCACGUCGGCUGUGAAAACCCGAGGCUCAACCUCGGGCCUGCAGUCGAUACGGGCAGACUAGAGUUCGGUAGGGGAGACUGGAAUUCCUGGUGUAGCGGUGAAAUGCGCAGAUAUCAGGAGGAACACCGGUGGCGAAGGCGGGACUCUGGGCCGAUACUGACGCUGAGGAGCGAAAGCGUGGGGAGCAAACAGG
rnacentral:rRNA from 1 species